rnacentral:rRNA from 1 species
UCGGGAAUUUUGGGCAAUGGGCGAAAGCCUGACCCAGCAACGCCGCGUGAAGGAUGAAGUAUUUCGGUAUGUAAACUUCGAAAGAAUAGGAAGAAUAAAUGACGGUACUAUUUAUAAGGUCCGGCUAACUACGUGCCAGCAGCCGCGGUAAUACGUAGGGACCAAGCGUUGUUCGGAUUUACUGGGCGUAAAGGGCGCGUAGGCGGCAAUUCAAGUCAUCUGUGAAAUCUCCGGGCUUAACUCGGAACGGUCAGAUGAUACUGCUUUGCUAGAGUGCAGAAGGGGCAAUCGGAAUUCCACGUGUAGCGGUGAAAUGCGUAGAUAUGUGGAAGAACACCGGUGGUGAAGACGGUUUACUGGGCUGUAACUGACGCUGAGGCGCGAAAGCAUGGGGAGCAAACAGGAUUAGAUACCCAUGAGUCCCUGAGCGGGCUGGCAAGGCGCAU